rnacentral:rRNA from 1 species
AGUGAACGCUGGCGGUAGGCCUAACACAUGCAAGUCGAACGGCAGCACAGUAAGAGCUUGCUCUUACGGGUGGCGAGUGGCGGACGGGUGAGGAAUACAUCGGAAUCUACUUUUUCGUGGGGGAUAACGUAGGGAAACUUACGCUAAUACCGCAUACGACCUACGGGUGAAAGCAGGAGAUCUUCGGACCUUGCGCGAUUGAAUGAGCCGAUGUCGGAUUAGCUAGUUGGCGGGGUAAAGGCCCACCAAGGCGACGAUCCGUAGCUGGUCUGAGAGGAUGAUCAGCCACACUGGAACUGAGACACGGUCCAGACUCCUACGGGAGGCAGCAGUGGGGAAUAUUGCACAAUGGGCGCAAGCCUGAUCCAGCCAUGCCGCGUGGGUGAAGAAGGCCUUCGGGUUGUAAAGCCCUUUUGUUGGGAAAGAAAAGCAGCAGGUUAAUACCUCGCUGUUCUGACGGUACCCAAAGAAUAAGCACCGGCUAACUUCGUG